rnacentral:rRNA from 1 species
CGAACGCUGGCGGCGUGCCUAAUACAUGCAAGUCGAACGCUUCUUUCCUCCCGAGUGCUUGCACUCAAUUGGAAAGAGGAGUGGCGGACGGGUGAGUAACACGUGGGUAACCUACCCAUCAGAGGGGGAUAACACUUGGAAACAGGUGCUAAUACCGCAUAACAGUUUAUGCCGCAUGGCAUAAGAGUGAAAGGCGCUUUCGGGUGUCGUUGAUGGAUGGACCCGCGGUGCAUUAGCUAGUUGGUGAGGUAACGGCUCACCAAGGCCACGAUGCAUAGCCGACCUGAGAGGGUGAUCGGCCACACUGGGACUGAGGCACGGCCCAGACUCCUACGGGAGGCAGCAGUAGGGAAUCUUCGGCAAUGGACGAAAGUCUGACCGAGCAACGCCGCGUGAGUGAAGAAGGUUUUCGGAUCGUAAAACUCUGUUGUUAGAGAAGAACAAGGACGUUAGUAACUGAACGUCCCCUGACGGUAUCUAACCAGAAAGCCACGGCUAACUACGUGCCAGCAGCCGCGGUAAUACGUAGGUGGCAAGCGUUGUCCGGAUUUAUUGGGCGUAAAGCGAGCGCAGGCGGUUUCUUAAGUCUGAUGUGAAAGCCCCCGGCUCAACCGGGGAGGGUCAUUGGAAACUGGGAGACUUGAGUGCAGAAGAGGAGAGUGGAAUUCCAUGUGUAGCGGUGAAAUGCGUAGAUAUAUGGAGGAACACCAGUGGCGAAGGCGGCUCUCUGGUCUGUAACUGACGCUGAGGCUCGAAAGCGUGGGGAGCAAACAGGAUUAGAUACCCCUGGUAGUCCACGCCGUAAACGAUGAGUGCUAAGUGUUGGAGGGUUUCCGCCCUUCAGUGCUGCAGCAAACGCAUUAAGCACUCCGCCUGGGGAGUACGACCGCAAGGUUGAAACUCAAAGGAAUUGACGGGGGCCCGCACAAGCGGUGGAGCAUGUGGUUUAAUUCGAAGCAACGCGAAGAACCUUACCAGGUCUUGACAUCCUUUGACCACUCUAGAGAUAGAGCUUUCCCUUCGGGGACAAAGUGACAGGUGGUGCAUGGUUGUCGUCAGCUCGUGUCGUGAGAUGUUGGGUUAAGUCCCGCAACGAGCGCAACCCUUAUUGUUAGUUGCCAUCAUUUAGUUGGGCACUCUAGCGAGACUGCCGGUGACAAACCGGAGGAAGGUGGGGAUGACGUCAAAUCAUCAUGCCCCUUAUGACCUGGGCUACACACGUGCUACAAUGGGAAGUACAACGAGUCGCUAGACCGCGAGGUCAUGCAAAUCUCUUAAAGCUUCUCUCAGUUCGGAUUGCAGGCUGCAACUCGCCUGCAUGAAGCCGGAAUCGCUAGUAAUCGCGGAUCAGCACGCCGCGGUGAAUACGUUCCCGGGCCUUGUACAUACCGCCCGUCACACCACGAGAGUUUGUAACACCCGAAGUCGGUGAGGUAACCUUUUUGGAGCCAGCCGCCUAAGGUGGGAUAGAUGAUUGGGGUGAAGU